rnacentral:rRNA from 1 species
GAUGAACGCUGGCGGCGUGCCUAAUACAUGCCAGUCGAGCGAACGGACGAGAAGCUUGCUUCUCUGAUGUUAGCGGCGGACGGGUGAGUAACACGUGGAUAACCUACCUAUAAGACUGGGAUAACUUCGGGAAACCGGAGCUAAUACCGGAUGAUAUUUUGAACCGCAUGGUUCAAAAGUGAAAGACGGUCUUGCUGUCACUUAUAGAUGGAUCCGCGCUGCAUUAGCUAGUUGGUAAGGUAACGGCUUACCAAGGCAACGAUGCAUAGCCGACCUGGGAGGGUGAUCGGCCACACUGGAACUGAGACACGGUCCAGACUCCUACGGGAGGCAGCAGUAGGGAAUCUUCCGCAAUGGGCGAAAGCCUGACGGAGCAACGCCGCGUGAGUGAUGAAGGUCUUCGGAUCGUAAAACUCUGUUAUUAGGGAAGAACAUAUGUGUAAGUAACUGUGCACAUCUUGACGGUACCUAAUCAGAAAGCCACGGCUAACUACGUG